UAAAGAUACAAACAAGUUUGGGAACCAGUGCCCAAAGACCAAGAUGGCAGCCACAAGCCUGGGAGAUGGAGAUGCAUGAGCAUGUGUGGUGACAUUUGUGUGAACAAGACAUCUGCAACCGUCAGUAGCUGCUGACUGAAGUGUGGAGGAUCCACUCAGCUGCUCUCCCAGGCCCUGCCACUGACGGGGGAAUCUCAAGUUCUAAGCAGUGUUAGAUUUAUGACUCGAUGAAAAGGACUUUACUGAUGGCGGAAAUUGGCCAGGACAACAGAUGUGGAAGAUGCAGGCCAGACUAAGCGGAUGAGCAGGGUUCUGCUGCAAACUGAAACUGAAGGAUGAGACAGUGAAAGAAAGCCAAGAAGCAGCAUUCUGGUUCAUCCAGGAAGGAACAAAGAAGAACUGUGCCAAUUGGAAAGAUUGGGGACCCUGAAGACAAGGAAAGAUCUAAUGGGGACAUGCACUGGGCUUGACUUGGCUCACUCGUCAGAAUCCAUGGGUUCUUAGCUUUGCCUCUAAUGUCAUCACCCUGGGUAAGCCAUUUAAUCAAUGCAGUUGUAAAAAGAAGUCUAUUAAUAAAGUGUCU